CUCAUGGCGGCGGCUUACACAUGCAGUCGAGCGGAAACGAUGAUAGCUUGCUAUCAGGCGUCGAGCGGCGGACGGGUGAGUAAUACUUAGGAAUCUACCUAGUAGUGGGGGAUAGCACGGGGAAACUCGUAUUAAUACCGCAUACGACCUACGGGAGAAAGGGGGCAGUUUACUGCUCUCGCUAUUAGAUGAGCCUAAGUCGGAUUAGCUAGAUGGUGGGGUAAAGGCCUACCAUGGCGACGAUCUGUAGCUGGUCUGAGAGGAUGAUCAGCCACACCGGGACUGAGACACGGCCCGGACUCCUACGGGAGGCAGCAGUGGGGAAUAUUGGACAAUGGGGGAAACCCUGAUCCAGCCAUGCCGCGUGUGUGAAGAAGGCCUUUUGGUUGUAAAGCACUUUAAGCAGUGAAGAAGACUCCGUGGUUAAUACCCACGGACGAUGACAUUAGCUGCAGAAUAAGCACCGGCUAACUCUGUGCCAGCAGCCGCGGUAAUACAGAGGGUGCAAGCGUUAAUCGGAAUUACUGGGCGUAAAGGGAGCGUAGGUGGCUCUAUAAGUCAGAUGUGAAAUCCCCGGGCUCAACCUGGGAACUGCAUCUGAAACUGUAGAGCUAGAGUAUGUGAGAGGAAGGUAGAAUUCCAGGUGUAGCGGUGAAAUGCGUAGAGAUCUGGAGGAAUACCGAUGGCGAAGGCAGCCUUCUGGGCAUAAUACUGACACUGAGGCUCGAAAGCGUGGGUAGCAUCAG
rnacentral:rRNA from 1 species